UUGAACGCUGGCGGCAGGCCUAACACAUACAAGUCGAGCGGCAGCGCGGGGCAACCUGGCGGCGAGCGGCGGACGGGUGAGUAACGCGUAGGAAUCUACCCAGUAGCGGGGGAUAGCCCGGGGAAACUCGGAUUAAUACCGCAUACGCCCUAAGGGGGAAAGCAGGGGAUCGUAAGACCUUGCACUAUUGGAAGAGCCUGCGUUGGAUUAGCUAGUUGGUAGGGUAAAGGCCUACCAAGGCGACGAUCCAUAACUGGUCUGAGAGGAUGAUCAGUCACGCCGGAACUGAGACACGGUCCGGACUCCUACGGGAGGCAGCAGUGGGGAAUAUUGGACAAUGGGGGCAACCCUGAUCCAGCCAUGCCGCGUGUGUGAAGAAGGCCUUCGGGUUGUAAAGCACUUUAAGUGGGGAGAAAGGUUCGCCGGCUAAUACCCGGCGGAAGUGAUGUUACCCACAGAAUAAGCACCGGCUAACUCUGUGUCAGCCGCCGCAGUAACAC
rnacentral:rRNA from 1 species